UGACCCUUCUAAGCCGAGGGUCACCUAGCCAACUGACGUUGUUAGUGAACCUUUUUGUUCACAUCUAUAUACAGCCAACCGCGAUUAUUGCGAUUGGCUAUUUUUUU
rnacentral:sRNA from 1 species